GUCAGAAAUAAAAAAAGAUUCGCAUAGCAAAAAAAAAAAAAAGAAGAUUACUUAUUUUAAACCAAGUGAAUCGGUUAAAUGAUUCAGUUAAAUGAUUCACUUGUCUAAAAACCGUCAAAGCAAAAAAAAAAAAAAAAAAAUCAUAACGUUUUAAUUAGCAAAAAUGUUCAUUUACCAGAGUUUUAAAUAACAAAGAUUUGCUUAGCAAAAAGAUUCACUUUGUAAUGAGAGUCGCUUAGAAAAAUAUUUUAGCAACAUCAUCUGAAUAAAUCAAUGAAAAAUGACUUUCCAAAGUGAAAGUGAGAAACUUUUGUACAGUUACACAAAAAAAAACCCAGCCGAAUAGCUUAGCUUCACGAGAUCUGAUGUAUUUUUAGACGAGAAGAGGAUAUGGCUGAAAUCUUAGGAGUCUUUAAACGUAAAAUAAUGCCACAGACAGUAUUUUACAUGCUAGUUGUAGUACGUGUGAUAACUAUCAGGACGCAUUAGGAUUGUUAGAAACAGGCAAAGUGUUUAAUAUGGUUAAAUCCGACACAAAUGGAUUUCAUGUCAUUUUGAACUUCUGUGCCCUCGUGUUAAUUCUCUCUAACCAAGUUGACAUUAUUAGCAUUUGAUGCCAACGCGAAUGUCUGACGCAUCCGGCCGCAUGCUAAUCUUUUACACUUUUUUUAAUGCAUACCAGUGUGAAAUUGGACUCAAGUCAUAACCCCAAAACAAUGGUACGCUUUUCUUCGCUCACAUUAAGAAGGUAAUUUAAAACCUCAUGUCUCACAGGAACACAAAAAUGCGUCUAGUCCGGUCACUAAAGAAUAUUACCAGGGCAACAUGGAAACCACUCGCGUGGAUUAGCUGCACUCAGAUUCUGACCUCAGGGACUUGAGGACAUCACGUGCACGUGUAUUCGCAAAGAACAACAAAGAAAAACAUUAUACGAUUUUUAGAAAGUGAGUUACAAUUUCACAUAUUAAAAAAAGUUCAGAAGCAGCUAAAAAAUAUUAUAAAUCGAUGGAUUACGACUAAAUUAAAAAAUGUAUCUAAAUAAAAAAAGAUAAUACAAUAUCUGGCUACAAACAGCUGAUUUGCUGUUAAAAUUUCUCCAUUUUAUUGUAACCUUUUCAAUUUGAAAUUGUACAAUUUUAAUGACUUUUAACAUUAUUUUAAUAAGUUAUUAAUGCAUUUUUAAUGUUAAGCUUUUUUUUAUAAAAUAAAUAUUGUAUUUUUUACUCUACAGAAAAUGAAAAUCGCACGUAGACGUUAAAAUAAAUAAACUACAUGUUUCGUUAAAUAUGUAUUGUGAUACGUAUCGUGUCUUGAGGAAACUUUGAUCUUUGAAACGCCUCUGAUAAUUACGGGAAUGUGAUAAAUUCGAAUUCAUAUUAUUUGUUCACUUUAAAUAUUUGCUUUCAACGCGUUCGGUCACACACACGAUAGAUAGAUAGAUAGAUAGAUAGAUAGAUAGAUAGAUAGAUAGAUAGAUAGAUAGAUAGAUAGAUAGAUAGAUAGAUAGAUAGAUAGAUAGAUAGAUAGAUAGAUAGAUAGAUAGAUAGAGCGAGACAAAGAGAGAGAGUGAGUGAGUGAGUGAGAGACAGAGAGUGAGUGUGAGUGAGAGAGAGAUAGGAAAGCAUGAACUUUCACUAUGAACGUUAUACAAAACUCGAACACCACCCAAUGAGUCAAAACCACACUCGCAAAGUGAACGAUAUAAAUUGUGUGCGUGAUGUGAUGCAUUUGGAGUUAUUAUUACUUAAGUGUAUGUUACAGCAGGGAUCAUUCUUCUGCUUCAGGCUUAAACUUCACUCUGUACAGAUUUUUUUUUAUCUGAUCCCAUACAUUCCUCCUGUACGGUGCCUCAGUGUCUGUAAUGUCCUGAGGAUUUAUUAACUUGUGUAUUUGUUGUCUGGAGUAUUUACAGCCCAGGGCUAUUUGUUGUCCAGAGUAUUCAUCGUUCUGUGUAUUUACUGUCCAGAAUGUUUAACACCUAGAUUGUUUAGAAUCUAAAGCAUUGAUCAUCCAGAGUAUUUACAAUCUCGAAUAUUUAAUAUUACUCGAGAUUACUAUUAAUAUUUACUUCCACAUGAUUUCUCUCAUAGACUUUUGCCUAGGAUUUAUUUUCGCAUUAUAUAUAUAUAUAUAUAUAUAUAUUAUUUCAUGACAUGAUGUCUCAUUUUUAUGUCACUUCUGGAGAUCAUUUGUUAAAAUGGACUUUGGCGUGUCGCUGCCAUAAACUCAUGAGGUGCAUGUGAGAUUUCCCGGUGUGUAUAUAUUAAAUAAUAAAAAUAAAAAAAUAAAAAGAACUCCAACAUGAUUUAACGACUCGGAACCUGAGGACUCGGUUACUUAACCAGACAUUUUAUAACUGACUUUCUCGGUGUUGUGGGUUAAAAAAUCACUAGUUUCUGAUCCGUCAGUAGAUUGUUUGAACGGAUGUGAUGAAUGUUAGCUUGUUGAGCUUGAUAAACACGUUUAAGGUCGUGUGGUGAGGUGGGAGGAAGGGGGGGGGAGCUGCCUGAGGUAAAUAAACCGCUUGAGCGUUUGAGCUGAACUUUCCCCAUUGUGGGACGAAUAAUGGUAUUUCUUAUCUUAACUUUCUGAUCUGAGGCUGGUGUGAAGAGGGAAGUUUCUCGGUCAGACAGGUGUUAGGUGUUCAGUGCUCAGGUGUUCAGUGCUCAGGUGUUCAGUGCUCAGGGCAGGUUUGUAUCCUCUGCUCAGUGUUUGUAAGUGUUUCUGUGGAGGUUUGUAUCCUCUGCUCAGUGUUUGUAAGUGUUUCUGUGGAGGUUUGUAUCCUCUGCUCAGUGUUGUAAGUGUUUCUGUGGAGGUUUGUAUCCUCUGCUCAGUGUUUCUGUGGAGGUUUGUAUGCUCUGCUCAGUGUUUGUGUUUCUGGUGAGGUUUGUAUCCUCUGCUCAGUGUCUGUAAGUGUUUCUGGUGAGGUUUGUAUCCUCUGCUCAGUGUCUAAGUGUUUCUGUGGAGGUUUGUAUCCUCUGCUCAGUGUUUGUGUUUCUGUGGAGGUUUGUAUCCUCUGCUCAGUGUUUGUGUUUCUGUGGAGGUUUGUAUCCUCUGCUCAGUGUUUGUAAGUGUUUCUGUGGAGGUUUGUAUCCUCUGCUCAGUGUCUAAGUGUUUCUGUGGAGGUUUGUAUGCUCUGCUCAGUGUUUGUGUUUCUGUGGAGGUUUGUAUCCUCUGCUCAGUGUCUGUAAGUGUUUCUGGUGAGGUUUGUAUCCUCUGCUCAGUGUCUAAGUGUUUCUGUGGAGGUUUGUAUCCUCUGCUCAGUGUUUGUAAGUGUUUCUGUGGAGGUUUGUAUCCUCUGCUCAGUGUCUGUAAGUGUUUCUGUGGAGGUUUGUAUGCUCUGCUCAGUGUUUGUGUUUCUGGUGAGGUUUGUAUCCUCUGCUCAGUGUCUGUAAGUGUUUCUGGUGAGGUUUGUAUCCUCUGCUCAGUGUUUGUAAGUGUUUCUGUGGAGGUUUGUAUCCUCUGCUCAGUGUCUGUAAGUGUUUCUGUGGAGGUUUGUAUCCUCUGCUCGGUGUUUGUAAGUGUUUCUGUGGAGGUUUGUAUCCUCUGCUCAGUGUCUGUAAGUGUUUCUGGUGAGGUUUGUAUCCUCUGCUCAGUGUCUAAGUGUUUCUGUGGAGGUUUGUAUCCUCUGCUCAGUGUUUGUAAGUGUUUCUGUGGAGGUUUGUAUCCUCUGCUCAGUGUUUGUAAGUGUUUCUGUGGAGGUUUGUAUGCUCUGCUCACCUUGCCGGAUCUCUGCGGUUCCUGGUGACACUGAUGUCCCUUCAAUGCGCUGCUUCUCCCCGGCUUCACUCCGUUCGCCGCCCGGUGCUGACACGCGUCCCCGUUCGCCUCCUUGUUCACCGCGCUCUCGGUCAUACUUCCCUACAAAGACGUGUAAGGACACAUCAAUAAACGUCGAACAAUUUAGAGUCGAAUUAAA